ACUACCAGUGAGGAAGGAUCUCUCCCUGAAGAUUGCUCCUCCUGGAGUUUUUUUUCUGCGAGCUCAGGACAUGGACUGUGACCCAGGGACUUUGCUUCAGAUCAGAUGAGAAGCAAAUGGUGGAAUGAGCGGGCAGGAAGACUUGAAGCUUCAGUUCAUCCCAGGAACCACUGUGUUGCUUGCAGACAAGUCCUUGCAAAACUUUGAUGGAAUGAAAUGUGCUCAGUCAAGUCAGGAAUUCUGGCCAGUCAAAGGCAGGACUGGGAGUAGAGCUACAGAGUGAGAUCCUAGAGAGCCAGCCCUGCUGCAAGGUUGAGCCAUGGCAGACAGAAGCAGCUGGAACCUCUCA